UACGGGGGGGGCAAGCGUUGUUCGGAAUUACUGGGCGUAAAGGGCUCGUAGGCGGCCAACUAAGUCAUACGUGAAAUCCCUCGGCUUAACCGGGGGAACUGCGUCUGAUACUGGAUGGCUUGAGUUCGGGAGAGGGAUGCGGAAUUCCAGGUGUAGCGGUGGAAUGCGCAGAUAUCAGGAGGAACACCGGUGGCGAAGGCGGCAUCCUGGACUGGUCCUGACACUCAGGAGCGAAAGCGUGGGGAGCGAUCCGG
rnacentral:rRNA from 1 species